AUACGUAGGGAGCGAGCGUUGUCCGGAAUUACUGGGUGUAAAGGGAGCGUAGGCGGGAGUGCAAGUCAGAUGUGAAAUACAUGGGCUCAACCCAUGGGCUGCAUUUGAAACUGCAUUUCUUGAGUGAAGUAGAGGUAAGCGGAAUUCCUGGUGUAGCGGUGAAAUGCGUAGAUAUCAGGAGGGACACCGGGUGCGAAGGCGGCCUACUGGGGUUUUACUUACGCUGAAGAUCGAAAGCGUAGGGAGCAGACAGGAUUAGAUACCCUGGUUGUUCACGCAGUAAACGAUGAUUACUAGGUGUUGGGGGACUGACCACUUCCGUGCCGCAGUUAACACAAUAAGGAAUCCACCUGGGGAGUACGGCCGCAAGGUUGAAACUCAAAGGAAUUGACGGGG
rnacentral:rRNA from 1 species